GCGCCUGGGAGAGGAGGGACUCACGGUGCAGAGGACCAAGCCAGAGUCCAAAGAGCCCAGGACAGAGACAGAAAGCGCAGACUAGAUACUCAGUGCCACCUGCCACCUGCCGUGGAGUCCCGAGGGGAAAUAGUGAUGUAAUUGCCUUCCGCACGUGUCUAAGAAGUGAGCGGAAUGUACCGCAGUGUGGAGCGUUUAGAACUCGGAGUCACCUGAGACCACACAGCAAGCAAGCUUCUCGAGGCUCCAGAGUCGUGGGAAAACCAAAGUCCUCCCCAUGGCCUUUAAGGCGUCUCCUGCAUCGUGCCCUCAUCCAUCACACCUGGACUCCUCUGUUGCCAGCUCCACCUUAACAAGCCAGGAAAGAGGCAGGCCCCCUGAAGCGACCCAUGGAAGCAGAAGGGACUGCAGGCAGAGUGGAGACGCCAAGCUUUAGUGAGCAUCCGUCAUGUGUGGAGCCUUCCUGUGGGUGCUGUGCCUGAAGUUUCCAGUGCUCUGGAUGGGACUGGAGUCAGCGCUGUGUCUGAGCUUGCUCAGCGGGUGUUGAUUGUGUCGGUAUUAAUGAAAACGAUCGUUAAUUGGACCUGCUCAGGCCCGCUGUGUGUCUCCCACAACGCUCUUCUCUCUACAUUCACACGAGCCUAAGGAAGGAGUCAUUAUUUUGAUUUCAAAGCCGAGGAAAUUGAGGCUGAGGGACUGGCGACUUGCCAGGAUCUCCAGGCAAGCCCAGGGCGGAGCCAGACCUUGAACUCAAGUCAGUUUCCAAAUUCCUUUAACCCUCUGGCCCUACGCCACAACUCACAUCGAUUUGGGACAUGGAAAGGCACUGAGCUGCCGGUUGGGACACUCAGGCUGGAACAGGCUGUACACCAGAGCACUGGGUGGCCUUGGGCAGGUCCUUGCCCUCUCUGGAUCCCACUCUGUCCAUUUCUGUGAUGCGGAGGCUUGAACUCAACUGUCUUCUUGCUGUGACUCUCUCUGAACCUGUGUAUGAGCGAGCAAGGCUGGGGCCACUCCAGGCUGAGAAGAGCAAACCAUGGACACCCUAUGCUUUCUGUCACUCCCUGAGGUGUUUGUCUGACCUUUCCACGGGGAGGAUUUAACUAUGGUGUCUGCUUGAGGAGCAGUGGGCAGGCAGUAUGUGCAGGGUGUAUGAUGUACAAAGAUGGCUCGCUUCCUGGGCGAGACACAGAGCACAAUGCUGCUCACAACUGCGUGUGACGUAAAGGUCAGAAACCACUUCUGGAAUUUUUCCAUUUGAAACUAUUGGUUUUGUUUUUUUGAGACAAGGUCUCACUGUGCAGUUGGAAUUCCUCGUCCUCCUGUCCUUGCCUCCCCAGGGCUGGGAUUGCAGGAGGCUUCUGCCAGAACUUGCUUCUAUUUAAUUUAUUUGGAUCAUGGUGGACAGCGGGUCACAGAAGCCCUGGAACACAAAACCAUGGAGAAGGGAGGCUACGGUCAUUCCCAGUUCAACGAAACAGCCAGGCUCUAUGGAAGUACUUUGGGAAAAGAUGCUUCAAGAGAGCCUGUUUUCCCAUGGGCGUGCACAGGUUGGAGGUGAUGGACCCAACCAAGCAAGGAAGGUUUAGGGGCCCCAUGCCCCUGAGGCUGGGGAGGUGACAUCCACUGGAGAGACUACUGCUGCCUCUGCUAUAGAGAUCUUCCCAUAUGUGUCAGGGCUCUAGACCAGGAGUUGGGGGAUUCCCAGGCCUGGAAAUUCUUGCUAAAAUAAUUCCACACCCCACCUCAAAUCCCCACAAAUCGGUCACUCUCAGCUCCGUUUCUUGGAAGAAGUUGGCUCGUGAUCAAAAGUUCUGGAAUCCACCGCAGGAAGCGGCCACUUGAGCAAGGAGAAAGGGCUCUGAUUAAAGAGCCAAGCAUUCUGGGUUCCGA